rnacentral:rRNA from 1 species
AUUGAACGCUGGCGGAAUGCUUUACACAUGCAAGUCGAACGGUAGAGGGGGCAACCCCUCGAGAGUGGCGAACGGGUGAGUAAUAUAUCGGAACGUGCCCAGUCGUGGGGGAUAACGUAGCGAAAGUUACGCUAAUACCGCAUACGAUCUAAGGAUGAAAGCGGGGGAUCGCAAGACCUCGCGCGAUUGGAGCGGCCGAUAUCAGAUUAGGUAGUUGGGGGGGUAAAGGCUCACCAAGCCAACGAUCUGUAGCUGGUCUGAGAGGACGACCAGCCACACUGGAACUGAGACACGGUCCAGACUCCUACGGGAGGCAGCAGUGGGGAAUUUUGGACAAUGGACGCAAGUCUGAUCCAGCCGUUCCGCGUGCAGGAUGAAGGCCCUCGGGUUGUAAACUGCUUUUGUACGGAACGAAAAGGUCUCUCUUAAUACGGGGGACUCAUGACGGUACCGUAAGAAUAAGCACCGGCUAACUACGUGCCAGCCGCCGCCGUAA